UACGAAGGGGGCUAGCGUUGCUCGGAAUCACUGGGCGUAAAGCGCGUGUAGGCGGCUUUGCAAGUCGGGUGUGAAAACUCGGGGCUUAACUCCGGGCCUGCAGUGGGUACGGGCAGACUAGAGUGCGGUAGGGGAGACUGGAAUUCCUGGUGUAGCGGUGAAAUGCGCAGAUAUCAGGAGGAACACCGGUGGCGAAGGCGGGUCUCUGGGCCGUAACUGACGCUGAGGAGCGAAAGCGUGGGGAGCGAACAGG
rnacentral:rRNA from 1 species